GGAAGAAACUAUUGGUAAAAAAUUGUACUCCAGAUAAUACAAUAUCCAGCACACUUGUUCACUGGCUCUGUAAGAAGGGACAGAUUCGAGAAGCAAGGAAAUUGUUUGACGAGUUGAAAAGAGUUCGAGUCCUAGUGUUUUGACAUAUAACAUGCUUAUUGCUGGGAUGUGUGAGAAAGGAGAACUGCAUGAAGCUGGGAGGUUAUGGGAUGACAUGGUAGACAAGGGUUGCAUUCCUAAUGCUUUUACUUACAACAUGUUGAUCAAAGGCUUUUGCAAAGUUGGAAAUGCUAAGGAAGGAAUUAGAGUUCUGGAAGAGAUGCUUGACAAAGGGUGUCACCCAAACAAAUCUACUUAUUCCAUCUUAAUCAAGGGGCUUCUUGACUCUGAACUCAACGC
rnacentral:misc_RNA from 1 species